rnacentral:lncRNA from 1 species
GAUCUUUCAUUGUUAGUGUAUAGAAAAGCAACAGAUUUCUAUGUAUUCAUUUUGCAUCCCACAAUUCUACCAAAUUUGUUGAUGCACUCUAGUAGUUUUCUGGUAGCAUUUUUAGGAUUUUCUAUGUAUAGUAUCAUAUCAUCUGCAAAUAGUGACAGUUUUAUUUCUUUCCAUUUUGGAUUCUUUCUUUUUUUUUAUUUUUUCUUUUUUUUCCUCUGAGUUCAUGGCCAGGACUUCCAAAAUUAUGUUGAAUAAAAGUGAUGAGAGUGGACAUCUUUGUUUUGUUACUGAUCUUAGAGCAAAUAUUUUCAGCUUUUCACUGUUGAGUCAUGUUUGCUGUGGGUUUCUCAUAAAUGACCUUUAUUACAUUGAAGUAGGUUUCCUUUGUUAGGUUUGCUGAAGGAGGAUUGCAUGAGGCCAUAUUGUUGUAGUAAGAUAAUUACUGAGGUAUCUGAGAAAGAUGGGCUGAGCUCAAGAUAGCAUCUGCCCCAACCAUGAGGAGAAGUUAGUGUUAUAAAGAAUCAUGGUAGGAAUCCAUGGUGAGGGUCUAUGGUGGGAACUUGUUGCAAGAAUAAUGAAAGGAAGGUUACAUAAUUUGAGGGAAGAGGUGGGGGAGUCAAGUCCCAUGACCAAGUGAUUGUGGCAGGGAUAAUUAUAGGGGAAGAGAAAAAUUACACAAUGUGAGAAGAUAGUUGGUGUGGGAGUCUCAUGACCAGGUAAGUGCACCAACAGAAAUUGACUUAUAAGGGGCAGUUAAUCUUUAUAGGUGGUUAAUCUUUGCAGGCAGUUUCCCAUAGAUCAUUUUCUCUUGCUGUUCAACUCAAAUGGCUACAUUCCAAGGGAGGAGGUUUCUUCCAUUCUCCUGGGAACCUGUCAUCCUCUAUGCCCACUUUCUGGAGAGUUUUUAUCAAAAAUUUGUAUUGACUUUCCUGUACACCUGAAACUAAUAACACUGAAAGGGACCAAUAAAAUUUAUUUUAAAAAAUGGGCAUUGAAUUUCAUCAAAACUUUUUUCUGCAUUUAUAGAGAUGAUCACAUUGUUUUUAUUCUUCAGUUUGUUAAUGUGGUGUAUCACAUUGAUUGAUAUGUAUGUUGAAAAAUCCUUGCAUACCUGGGAAAAAUCCCACUAUCCUUUUAGCAUAUUGUUGGUUUUGGUUUGCUAGUAUUUUGUUAAGGAUUUCUGUGUCUAUGUUCUUUGGUGAUGUUGACCUGUGAUUUUCUUUUUUUAUGGUAUCUUGGUCUGGUUUUAGUAUCAGGGUGAUGGCAGCCUUAUAGAAUGAGUUUGGGAGUGUUCUUUCCUCUGCAAUUUUUUGGAAUAGUUUCAGAAAGAAAGAUGUUAAUUCUCCUCUCAAUGUUGGUAAAAUUUACCUGUGAAGCCAUAUGGUCCUGGACUAUGUUUUUUUUGGAAAUUUUUAAAUCAGUUUCAAUUUCAAUACUUGUGAUUGGUCUAUUCAUAUUUUCUGUUUCUUCCUGGUUCAGUCUUGGGAGAUUUUACCUUUCUGAGAAGUUGUCUAUUUCUUCUAGGUUUCCCAUUUUAUUGGCAUAUAGUUGCUUGUAGUAGUCUCCUAUGAUCCUUUGUAUUUCUAUGGUGUCACUUGUAACUUCCCUGUUUCAUUUCUAAUUAUAUUGAUUUCAGCCCUUUCCCUUUUUUUCCUUGAUGAGUCUGGCCAAAGGUGAGGAUGAUUGGUAUGAUUUCAGUUUUCUCAGAUUUACCAAGGUUUGCUUUGUGGCCUGUCCAACAUGAUCUAUCCUAGAGAAUGUUCCAUGUACACCUAAAAAGAAUGUUUUCAGAUGGAAUCCUCUAUAAAUAUCAAUUAAGUUUAUCUGAAUGAAUAUGUUAUUUAAGACCUAUGUUUCCAUAUUGCUUUUCUGUCUGGUUGAUCUCUCCAUUCAUGUAAAUAGAGUGCUAAAGUCCCCCACUAUUAUUGUGUUACUAUCACUUUCUCCUUUCAUAGCUGUUAACAUUUGUCUUAUAUAUUGAGGUGCCCUUAUGUGUAUAUGUUUACAGUUGUUAUAUCUUCUUGGAUUGAUCCCUUGAUCAUUAUGUAGUAUCCUUCUUUGUCUCUUGUAACAGUCUUUAUUUUACUUUAUUUUAUUUUUUGUCUUUUUAGGGCCACACCCACAGCAUAUGGAGGUUCCCAGGCUAGGGGUCUAAUCGGAGCUGCAGCUGCCGGCCUAUGCCACAGCCACAGCAAUGCAGUAUCUGAGCUGCAUCUGCAAUCUAUACCGCAGCUCACAGCAACGCCGAAUCCUUAAUGCACUAGUGAGGCCAGGGAUCAAACCUGCAACCUCAUGGUUCCUAGUUGGAUUCAUUUCCACUGCGCCAUGAUGGAAACUCCCAGUCUUUUAUUUUAAAGUUUGUUUUAUCUGACAUAUAUAUUGCUACUCCAGCUUUGUUUUGAUCUCUACUUGCAUGGAAUACUUUUUUGUUUCCCCUCAUUUUCAGUCUGUAUGUGUCCCUAGAACUGAAGUAGGUCUCUUGUAGAUAGCGUGUGUGUGUGUGUGUCUUGGGUCUUGUUUCAGUAUCCAUUCAGCUAGUCUGUGUCUUUUGAUUGGGACAUUUAAUCUGUUUACAUUUAAGGUAAUUAUCAAUAUGUGUGUUCUUGUUUCUCUGUGUAUGGUCAGGCUUCUUCUCUCUGUACAUCCCCUCCUCAACCAGUGCCUGUUUCACCUAUACACUAUGCACAUGACUGACUUUCCUACAUGCUUGCCCUAGGUCCCAGAUAGUGAUUGUUCUUAUCAAAGUGGUGGUAAGGGUUGUGCCACUCACUGGUUUCUCUUGUAACUAAUGAACCAACUUGACAGCAGUUCCUCCAACAACUGGCAAUUUCCCCUUCACUUUGAGAGCAAAGCCUGCUACUAUGUCCUGCCCACCAUCUGCCACACAUGGUAGGGUGUUUCUCCUGAACCUUGCUUCAGACCUGUAAUCUCCUUCAUCUGUUAAACCACUGAUAACUCUGUUGCUGACUUUGGGCUCUUCGUUUGGUCUUGGAGCUGGGCAAGCGCAGAGUCUUGUAGGCCUUCAAGGUGCAACCCAGCAGUUGGCAGAGCCAGCAAGGAGACUGAGGAAACUACUGUGAGCAUAGAGAUGUUGAGAAAUACAGGAUAGGGAAUGGAAAGUUGCAUGGGCUGUCCACUAACACAUGGAGCCUGAAAGUUGUGGGUGUAAUCCCAGGGUGGCUGUUCACUAGUAUAUGGGUCCCUGUGAUUGGCUGUCCUUGAUGAAUGGUGGCUGCUAAGAGAUCUGGAGAACAAUGGCCCCUAAUGGCUUUGCUAUUGUAUCAAGGUGAGCCUUUUGUAGUUGGUUAAGCUAUGGUACUACUCUUGCUUUUGAGAUGUAAAUUGUCUACCUGGGCUCUCUGGUACUUUAAUCUUUUAUGAUCUCUAAGAGUAAAAGAGAAAAAAAGAACUUUUAGGUAAGCUUUAUAGAAAUAAUAAUGUUUUAGGGAUGUCUAUCUAAAAUAGUCUCUCUAGAUUUUUAUCAGCACCCCUGGGCUAUGCUUUGUGGAAUGGAAUAGGCUGGCUUUUGGACACACACAUGGAAUUAACUAUUUUUGUUUGGAAAGACCUAAUGGGCCCACUCCAGUGGCAUUCAGUAUAACAUGGGGUGGCAAACCUGUACUGUGACUGCUGACUCCUGACUAGGCCAACAGAAUGUUUCUUUUAGAAAUGGGGCCUUCCCCUCUCUCUGGGAGUGGCUCUGAAUGUAUAAAAACUAGGGGUAGCCUUAUUUCUGUUUAUAUUAUAUUUGUGAUAAUCUGGUUACAGUGUUCCUCUGCAUACCUUACCCAAGGGAUAUCAUAAAAUAGAAGCAGACCAAGAUUGUAAGGGUUGUGCAGGGAAUGUAGGGGUGAAAUAUAUGGUCAGGUCACUCAAAAUGGCUGUUCUCCUGCUCUCUGUACAUCUCCAGUAACAACCAUGUCCUGCUUCACCUGUACCCUCUACACUGACCUUCCUGCAUACUUGCCUAAGGCCCCAGGUAGUGAUUGUUCUUACCAAAGUUGUGGUGAGGGAUGUGCCUCUCACUGGUUUCCCUGGUAAAAAAGUGAGCCAACCUGACAUUGGUUCCCCCUAUAACUGGCAAUUUCUCCCUCCUCUCAGGAGCGAAGCUUCCUGCCAUGUUCUGCCCACCGUCUGCCACAUAUGGUGGGAUAUUUCUCUAGGACCUUAUCUCAGAUAUGUAAGCUCCCCCAUCCACUAAACCAUUGAUAUCUCUGUUGCUGGCUCUUGCUUAAGUCUUGAAGCUGGGCAAGCACAGGACCUUGUAGGCUUGUAGGGGGCAGCCCAAAACCAUUUUGUUGGAUUGUUUGAGUAUAACAGUCUCUCUCUUUCUAUAUAUAUAUAACUGCUCUAAGUUGCUAAUCUCUUAAUUUAAAAUGAGUUUUAAAUAUCCUACGUUUGUACUCUCCUCAUCUUACAAUUACUGGUUUUUAUGUAAUAUUUGUGUGUGGAUGAUUUCCUACCUUUAUGUUUGUCUUUACUGGUCAGCUUUUCCUUUUCAUAAUUUUCUUAUUUCUAGUUGUGGCCUUUUCUUUUCCAGCUGGAGAAUUUCCUUUAGUGUUUUUUUGUUGUUGUUGUCAUUGUUUGUUUGUUUGUUUGUUUGUAAGCUGGUUUGGCAGUGCUGAAUUCUUUCAACUUUUGCUUGUCUGUAAAGAUUUUGAUUUCUCUGAGUCUUGCUGGGUAGAAUAUACUGGUUGUAGGUUUUUACCUUUCAUCACUUUAAAUAUAUCGUUCCACUCCCCUCUGGCCUACAGAGUUUCUGCUAAAAAAUCAGUUAAUAGUCUUAUGGGGAUUCCCUUGUGUAUUAUUGUUGCUUUUCCCUUAUUGGUGUUUUUUUUGUUUUUUUUUGUUUUUUUUUUUCCCUUUUAAGGCCACAACUGUGGCAUAUGGAAGUUCCCCAGGUAAGGGUGUAAUCAGAGCUGCAGCUAGUGACUACAUCACAGCCGCAGCAAUGCCAGAUUUGAGCUGCAGCCAUCACCUGUGCUUCAGCUUGGGGCAAUGCCAGAUCCUUAACGCACUGAGCGAGGCCAGGGAUUGAACCCACAUCCUCAGGGACAUUAUGUUGCGUUCUUAACCUGCUGAGCCACAACAGGAACUCCUCCGUUAUUGUUUUUAAUACUUUAUUUUUGUGUUUAAUUUUUGUCAGUUUGAUUACCAUGUGUCUCAGCAUGUUCCUCCUUGGGUUAAUACUGUUUGGGACUCUUCAUAUCCUUCAUAUCCAUAAUCAUGUAUGCUUCCUUUCCCAUGUUAGGGAAGUUUUUGGCUAUUAUCUCUUCAGAUAUUUUCUCAGGUCCUUUUUCUCUCUUCUCUUUGUAGGACCCGUAUAACGCAAAUAUUGGUGGGUUUGACAUUGUCCUGGAAGUCUCUUAAACUGUUGUCAUUUCUUUCCAUUCCUUUUUCUUUAUUUUCUUCUGUGGCAGUGUUUUCCACCACUCUGUGUCCAGCUCAUUGAUCCAUUCUUCUGCCUUAUUUAUUCUGCUAUUGAUUACUUCUAGUGUAUUUCUCAUUUUAGUUACUAUGUUCUUCAACUGUGUUUGGUCAUUAUAUUUUCUCUGUUAUAAACUUCUUGUAACUUCUCUUUUUGUGCAUCUUUUCUUUUCCCAAGUUCUUGGAUCAACUUUAUGGUCAUUGCUUCAAACUCUUUCUUGGGUAGAUUGCUUAUCUCCAUGUUAUGUAUUUGUUCUUCUGGGGUUUUGUCUUGUUCCUUCAUCUGGAACAUAUUACUUUGUGGUCUUAUUUUGUUUAAAUUUCUGUUUGUAUUUUUAUGUAUGUAAUAUGUUUGUUAUGUUUCUUCACCUUAGGGAAGUGGCCCUCUUUAGGGAAUGUCCUAUGCUUCUUUCUCAUCACUUAAAAGCCAGGGAUCAGUUGAUCUCAGGAUAGGUUCUGACCUGUGUUUGUGGGCUCACUUCCACAGAGUACAGGAUUGUAGUUUUCUUGCUUCUUAUUCUGCCUCCUGGCUGGCAGGGCUGGUCUUGAGGCUUGUGCAGGUUUUCUGGCAGGAGAGGCUGAUGUCAGCCCACUGCUGAAUGGAGCUGAGUCUUGGCUAUGUGGGGGGCAGGGCCAUGUCAAGGAUCAUGUCAAGAUGGCAAGACUUAAAGACUAAUAUCUUAAAAAAUAUUCAUGGGAGUUCCCAUUGUGGCGCAGUGGUUAAUGAAUCCGACUAGGAACCAUGAGGUUGCGGGUUUGGUCCCUGCCCUUGCUCAGUGGUUAACGAUCCGGCGUUGCCGUGAGCUGUGGUGUAGGUUGCAGACGCGGCUCAGAUCCCGCGUUGCUGUGGCUGUGGCUCCGAUUAGACUCCCAGCCUGGGAAUCUCCAUAUGCUGCGGAAGCGGCCCAAGAAAUAGCAAAAAAAAAAAAAAAAAAAAAAAA